rnacentral:misc_RNA from 1 species
GAAAUGCGAUAAGUAGUGUGAAUUGCAGAAUUCAGUGAAUCAUCGAAUCUUUGAACGCACAUUGUGCCCCUUGGUAUUCCAUGGGGCAUGCCUGUUCGAGCGUCAUUUGUACCCUCAAGCUCUGCUUGGUGUUGGGUGUUUGUCCCGUCUCCGCGCGUGGACUCGCCCCAAAGUGAUUGGCAGCCGGCGUACUGGUCCCGGAGCGCAGCACAUGUCGCGCAAACGAGUGCCUUGGUACGGCGGCGUCCAUAAGCCCCUCUCUCACGCUCUUGACCUCGGAUCAGGUAGGGAUACCCGCUGAACUUAAGC